rnacentral:rRNA from 2 species
AGUGAGCGGGAUGAGCUCAAAUUUAAAAUCUGGCUGGUUUACUAGUCCGAAUUGUAGUUUAUAGAAGCGUUUUCGGUGGCAGCCUGGGUAUAAAUCCUUUGGAAUAGGGUAUCAUAGAGGGUGAGAAUCCCGUCUUUGACUCAGUGCAUGCUACUAUGUGAUACGUUUUCAAAGAGUCGAGUUGUUUGGGAAUGCAGCUCAAAAUGGGUGGUAAAUUUCAUCUAAAGCUAAAUAUUGGCGAGAGACCGAUAGCGAACAAGUACCGUGAGGGAAAGAUGAAAAGAACUUUGAAAAGAGAGUUAAACAGUGCGUGAAAUUGUUGAAAGGGAAACGUUUGACACCAGUUAUGCGGGUGGAAAAUCAGUCUUUUGCAAUGGGGAGUUGUGGGCGUUCAGACCGCAAGGCUGGCGUUUGCUUCAUCUUUGUUGUAAGUGAUGCACUUUUUCAUUUGCAGGUCAACAUCAGUUUGCUUUGCUGGACAAAACCCCAAGGGAAGGUGGCAGCUUAGGCUGUGUUAUAGCCCUGGGGCGAUACAGUGGAGUGGACUGAGGUUUCGCAGUGUGUGCUCUCGGGCAAGGCUGACUGGGUGCUAUGGGAUCGUUCGGCGUACAAUGCAUGCAUUUUGCGUCGUGUCUUUUUUAUACUCGCUCAACUCGGCUCUUCCACACUUAGGAUGUUGACUUAAUGGUUUUAAACGACCCGUCUUGAA